CCCUCCUCUGUGCCUCUGUCACCAGGAGCUUCUGCCGCUCAGCAGGGUGGGAUGGGUGCAUUUCAGAUACCGUCGUUCCUGCUGGGAGCAGCUGCAUCUGUGAAUGGUUCUCCUGUGGUCCAUCUGCCUGCCGCCCCCCUCUCAGGGAAGGGUGGAGACAUCACAGUGCUCCCGACUGUUGCGAAUUCCCUUCCAGGAAUCCUCCCUGAUGAGUCUGGGUACUUCUUUUAGGCGGACUGUGUGAAGGGUGACCACCAGUUUACUUCCUAGCAGCAGAGUGUUGAGCCCCUGCCUUUAGAGAACUUCCUGGAAUGCCUUCUUUGCAAGUGGUGAAAUGUUCAGAUUCAAAGGAAGGCCAGUGGAGAAGAUAGCACGGAACUCAUCAAAUUCUAACGGCAUCAGAGGAAGUCAUAAUCACAUGCUGAUGGAAAACAUCAUCAGCACCUGCACCCUAGGGAUUAGGGUGAGGGCUGCAAGCCACCAGCAGGAGCAGUUUCUCCUUUGUUCUGGUGGAUUGUCAGCAGCCCACCCCCGUGAAGCAACCACUUGGCGCGAUGAAAGAAUGCCACAGCAUCCAAACCUUGGAUUCAAGUCUCUGCCAGCUAAUUACUCACUGUGGGCAUGUUGCCUAAAUUCUUCAUUUCCUCAUUAGGAAAACAAAUAAUAUCUGUUCUCCCCAGCUCAAAAAAAUGAAAAACCAUCAAAAUAACAGUAAAUA